rnacentral:SRP_RNA from 1 species
CGCCGGUCACCCGGCAACGACUAACAGCGGACUUGGUCAGGCCCGGAAGGGAGCAGCCACAGUUGUGAAUUCGUGUGCCGGGAGCGGCUGGCGGAA